rnacentral:rRNA from 1 species
GUGGCGAACGGGUGAGUAAUAUAUCGGAACGUAUCCAUUAAUGGGGGAUAACUAAUCGAAAGGUUGGCUAAUACCGCAUACGCCCUACGGGGGAAAGCAGGGGAUCUUCGGACCUUGCGUUAAUGGAGCGGCCGAUAUCUGAUUAGCUAGUUGGUGAGGUAAAGGCUCACCAAGGCGACGAUCUGUAGCUGGUCUGAGAGGACGACCAGCCACACUGGAACUGAGACACGGUCCAGACUCCUACGGGAGGCAGCAGUGGGGAAUUUUGGACAAUGGGCGAAAGCCUGAUCCAGCCAUUCCGCGUGAGUGAAGAAGGCCUUCGGGUUGUAAAGCUCUUUCACCGGUGAAGAUAAUGACGGUAACCGGAGAAGAAGCCCCGGCUAACUUCGUGCCAGCAGCCGCGGUAAUACGAAGGGGGCUAGCGUUGUUCGGAUUUACUGGGCGUAAAGCGCACGUAGGCGGACUUUUAAGUCAGGGGU